GACGUAGGGCGCGAGCGUUGUCCGGAUUUAUUGGGCGUAAAGAGCUCGUAGGCGGCUUGUCGCGUCGACUGUGAAAACCCGUGGCUCAACCAUGUGGUCUGCAGUCGAUACGGGCAGGCUAGAAUUCGGUAGGGGAGACUGGAAUUCCUGGUGUAGCGGUGAAAUGCGCAGAUAUCAGGAGGAACACCGGUGGCGAAGGCGGAUCUCUGGACAGUUCCUGACGCUGAGGCGCGAAGGCCAGGGGAGCAAACGGG
rnacentral:rRNA from 1 species